rnacentral:tRNA from 1 species
GCGCCUAUGGCCUAAUGGAUAAGGCGUUUGACUUCUAAUCAAGCGAUUGUGGGUUCAAGUCCCAUUGGGUGUG